rnacentral:rRNA from 1 species
GACAGAGGGUGCAAACGUUGCUCGGAAUUACUGGGCGUAAAGCGCGUGUAGGCGGUUACGCGAGUCGGGUGUGAAAGCCCGGGGCUCAACCCCGGACGUGCACUCGAUACUACGUAGCUGGAGUACUGUAGAGGAUGGCGGAAUUCCCGGUGUAGAGGUGAAAUUCGUAGAUAUCGGGAGGAACACCAGUGGCGAAGGCGGCCAUCUGGACAGUAACUGACGCUGAGACGCGAAAGCGUGGGUAGCAAACAGG